GAUGAAGAACGUAGCAAAAUGCGAUAAGUAGUGUGAAUUGCAGAAUACGUGAAUCAUCGAAUCUUCGAACGCAUAUUGCACUUUUUUAGUUUACUAAAAAAGUAUGUCUGUUUGAGUAUCAGUAAAAUAUUCUCAUAAAAAAAAUUUAUUUUUUUUUUUUUUUUUAUGGUUAUGAGUGUUUUACAACGGAUAACAAGUUGUUUCACUUUAAAUUUUUUUUAAAAUUUGAAUUUUUCUAAUUUUAAAAUAAAAUUGGAUAAAAUUUUCCCGUAAAAAAAAAAGGAAUAACCUAAACAAUUUUAAAUUAAUUUUAGAAGAUCCAAAAAAUAAAAGGAAAAUUUAACUAAAAAUAACUUGAUCUCAAAUCAGAUAAGAGUACCCGCUGAACUUAAGCAUAUCAAUAAGCGGAGGA
rnacentral:misc_RNA from 1 species